rnacentral:rRNA from 1 species
UUCUGGACAGUACUGACGCUGAGAUGCGAAGCGUGGGGAGCAAACAGGAUUAGAUACCUGGUAGUCCACGCUGUAAACGAUGUCGAUUUGGAGUUUGUUGCCUAGAGUGAUGGGCUCCGAAGCUAACGCGAUAAAUCGACCGCCUGGGGAGUACGGCCGCAAGGUUAAAACUCAGAUGAAUUGACGGGGGCCCGCACAAGCGGUGGAGCAUGUGGUUUAAUUCGAUGCAACGCGAAGAACCUUACCUGGUCUUGACAUCCAUAGAAUUCUGCAGAGAUGUGGGAGUGCCUUCGGGAACUAUGAGACAGGUGCUGCAUGGCUGUCGUCAGCUCGUGUUGUGAAAUGUUGGGUUAAGUCCCGCAACGAGCGCAACCCUUAUUCUUUGUUGCCAGCGAUUUGGUCGGGAACUCAAAGGAGACUGCCGUUGAUAAAGCGGAGGAAGGUGGGGACGACGUCAAGUCAUCAUGGCCCUUACGACCAGGGCUACACACGUGCUACAAUGGCGUAUACAAAGGGAAGCGAAGGUGCGAGCUGGAGCGGAUCUCAUAAAGUACGUCUAAGUUCGGAUUGGAGUCUGCAACUCGACUCCAUGAAGUCGGAAUCGCUAGUAAUCGUAGAUCAGAAUGCUACGGUGAAUACGCUCCCGGGCCUUGUACACACCGCCCGUCACACCAUGGGAGUGGGUUGCACCAGAAGUAGAUAGCUUAACCGCGAGGGGGGCGUUUACCACGGUGUGAUUCAUGACUGGGGUGAAGUCGUAACAAGGUAACCA